rnacentral:RNase_P_RNA from 1 species
CAGGACAUGCAGCCGCGGCUGGCUUCGCCAGACGAGGAAAGUCCGGGCACCACAGGGCAGGAUGCCGGAUAACGUCCGGCAGGGGUAACCCUCGGGAUAGCGCAACAGAGAAUGACCGCCGCGCAAGCGGUAAGGGUGAAAAGGCAGUGUAAGAGACUACCGUCCGACCGGUAACGGGAGGAGCCGUGCAAGCCCCAUCCGGUGCAAGGCCGAAACGAAGCGAUACGGCUGCCCGCCGUGCUUCAGGUAGGCCGCUUGAGCCCCGCGGCAACGCGAGGUCUAGACAGAUGGCUGCACAAGACAGAACCCGGCUUACAGUUCUGCC